rnacentral:rRNA from 1 species
UAGAACGGGCCAACGAGGUACGUUAAGUAGCAAGGUUAAGCACGUAAGGUGCGGAGCCGUAGCGAAAGCGAGUUUGAACUGAGCGUUCAGUUACUUGACGUAGACCCGAAACCGGGCGACCUACCCAUGAGCAGGAUGAAGCGAAAGUAAAAUUUCGUGGAGGUCCGAACCCACGAGCGUUGAAAAGCUCGGGGAUGACUUGUGGGUAGCGGUGAAAUUCCAAUCGAGCCCGGAGAUAGCUGGUUCUCCCCGAAAUAGCUUUAGGGCUAGCCUCAAGGUGAGAGAUACGGAGGUAGAGCACUGAAUGUCCUAGGGGGUAUUGCACCUACCGAAGACUAUCAAACUCCGAAUGCCGUCAUCUUAUACUUGGGAGUCAGACUGUGGGUGAUAAGAUUCAUAGUCGAAAGGGCAACAGCCCAGAUCGUCAGCUAAGGUCCCUAAAUGUAAGUUAAGUGGUAAAGGAUGUGGGAUUGCACAGACAACCAGGAUGUUGGCUUAGAAGCAGCCACUCAUUCAAAGAGUGCGUAAUAGCUCACUGGUCGAGUGAUCCUGCGCCGAAGAUUUCCGGGGCUAAAACUUACUACCGAAGCUACGGCAUCAGUAAUGAUGGGUAGGGGAGCUUCCCAUA